rnacentral:rRNA from 1 species
UACGUAGGGUGCGAGCGUUGUCCGGAAUUAUUGGGCGUAAAGAGCUCGUAGGCGGUUUGUCGCGUCGACUGUGAAAACCCGAGGCUUAACCUCGGGCCUGCAGCCGAUACGGGCAGACUAGAGUUCGGCAGGGGAGACUGGAAUUCCUGGUGUAGCGGUGAAAUGCGUAGAUAUCGGAAGGAACGCCGGUGGCGAAAGCGACGUGCUGGACCCUUUCUGACGCUGAGGCGCGAAAGCCAGGGGAGCAAACGGG